GAAAAAACCUUCCCACGUGCUCCGAGACAGCUAACGUCAUGGGCCCGCAGGUCACGUGACACUGAGGGCACCUCUCCAUUGGUCAGAACCAGCUCAGCGGUGGGAGCUUAAAACUCGAGGCUGACUUGCGAACCUGUGGCGGACGUCUUGCGCGUUUCCUGGUCCGUUACCUUGGCAACAGUUAACCCUUCCCUCGGCAAAAUACCCAGGCCUUGGUUUCCUCCGCAGUUUUGGUUUCAGACCCUUCCUCCUUUCCUUCGACCCCCUAGGCUUACCGUCUGCGGCCAAAGAGAUUCUUCGCCACGAGGCUACCUUUGCUGUCCUCUGAAGCCCCGGCCCCUUCCCAAAUUAGCAGCCCCAGUGAAUCUGGCGGUGGCCCCUCCCCUUCUCCUUAGCAUCUUUAGAAACAGCGCAACAGGCCAUUGGCCCUAUCCGAACCCCAAGAAUCAGGCACUACUCCAGGCUGUCAAUUGAGCAGUGAUGAAGACAAAUACUGAAGUUUAGAUUCUAGAGAACUAGGGGCGGGGAUUAUCUGUCGCUGUUAAGCCAUAUGAAAAUAAGUUACAUACUCAGAUGAGUAUCUCUUCUAUAAGCCAGUUCUAAGAAAAAGGGACAUCUUGGAAAGACUUGUCCCCUUCCUCACAAUGGAAUUUAUUAAAUCAGCCACCUUCUGAAGGAAAGACUAGGAUUCCUCCAUCAAUCUUCAUGAACACCAAAAUAACUCACCAUCUUUGCUUUGUUAGUUCACUGGCCUACAUCACUUCAUAGUUUAGUCUCCCUCAACCACAGGAUGUGGCCACCAAAAAUUAGUAAAUAAACUUUACUCUACAUGAAUGCUAGCGUGCUUAAAACAAAAGAUGUACUGGUCCUACUCUUCCCUGAGCGAGGAAGUCCAUACCUGCAUUUACCAACAGAGCUAUGACCAGACAUAAGGUAACAAAGAAAUGUAUCUUAUGAGAAAUUUAACCUUUUGGAAUAUUUAAUCUAUGAAUGGAAGAUUCAGAGGGAUACCAUAAACUGAAGUUGGAAAGCUAUCGUACAAGCAAUGUCUUAGAUUUCCUCUGUUCUUCCAGGGGGACAAGACAGAUUUCAGAUCACAUAAAAAGAAAAAAAUAAUAAUUAGAGCUGUGCUAAAAUGAAAUGGAUAUCUUUAUAAACAAUGAGUCUCCAAUUAUUUCUUUGCAUCUAUACAGUUUAUUAUAAAAAUACAUUUUGUAGCAUCCAAAUUUUUAACAUCUUAAUCUCUUAUGUGAUGAUAUUCUGCUGUUAUCUCUAAACAUUUAAAAUUCUUCCUUUUUAAAGUGUGUCCUUAUUUCACAUUUGAUUGUACAGGUUGCUAUCAUUAUCAGUUGGUGUAAUAAGAUUCCUAUAAAGAUCUUGUUAUCUUCGAGGAGUAACCCAGUAGGGAAUAAUGGGUGUAAUAAGAUUUCUGCACAGCUCUUGCUUAAUAGUAAGAUGGUCUAUAAUUUUCUCUCUUUUUAGAUGGUCAGUAGCUACUCUGAAAUAUAAACUCUGCCAUAUAAACUCCUUAUAAAAGUAAGAUCCACAUUAAAAUAAAAUAUCACAGUAAUUAUUCUGUAUGGUUUGAGCAAAUGACAUCUUUUAUGGGAAAGAGAAGUUACUAAACAAUAUUUACAAGUUGCUACCUGGGCUUCACUAUCAAACUCUGUGCCCUUCAAACUUUAAUAUUAGCUUG
ensembl:lncRNA